rnacentral:rRNA from 1 species
GCUGGCGGCAGGCCUAACACAUGCAAGUCGAGCGCAGUCCUUCGGGACCGAGCGGCGGACGGGUUAGUAACGCGUGGGAACAUACCCUUUUCUACGGAAUAGCCUCGGGAAACUGAGAGUAAUACCGUAUAAGCCCUUCGGGGGAAAGAUUUAUCGGGAAAGGAUUGGCCCGCGUUAGAUUAGAUAGUUGGUGGGGUAAUGGCCUACCAAGUCUACGAUCUAUAGCUGGUUUUAGAGGAUGAUCAGCAACACUGGGACUGAGACACGGCCCAGACUCCUACGGGAGGCAGCAGUGGGGAAUCUUAGACAAUGGGCGCAAGCCUGAUCUAGCCAUGCCGCGUGUGUGAUGAAGGUCUUAGGAUCGUAAAGCACUUUCGCCAGGGAUGAUAAUGACAGUACCUGGUAAAGAAACCCCGGCUAACUCCGUGCCAGCAGCCGCGGUAAUACGGAGGGGGUUAGCGUUGUUCGGAAUUACUGGGCGUAAAGCGUACGUAGGCGGAUCAGAAAGUUAGGGGUGAAAUCCCGAGGCUCAACCUCGGAACUGCCUCUAAAACUCCUGGUCUUGAGUUCGAGAGAGGUGAGUGGAAUUCCAAGUGUAGAGGUGAAAUUCGUAGAUAUUUGGAGGAACACCAGUGGCGAAGGCGGCUCACUGGCUCGAUACUGACGCUGAGGUACGAAAGUGUGGGGAGCAAACAGGAUUAGAUACCCUGGUAGUCCACACCGUAAACGAUGAAUGCCAGUCGUCGGGCAGUAUACUGUUCGGUGACACACCUAACGGAUUAAGCAUCC